UACGUAGGGACCAAGCGUUGUCCGGAAUCAUUGGGCGUAAAGAGCGUGUAGGCGGCUUGUUAAGUCUUGCGUGAAAUCUCGGGGCUCAACCCCGAGCGGUCGUGAGAAACUGGCAGGCUAGAGUGCGGGAGAGGAGAGUGGAAUUCCUGGUGUAGCGGUGAAAUGCGCAGAUAUCAGGAGGAACACCGGUGGCGAAGGCGGUUCUCUGGGCCAUUACUGACGCUGAGGAGCGAAAGCGUGGGGAGCGAACAGG
rnacentral:rRNA from 1 species